rnacentral:rRNA from 1 species
AUGGCACAUAAUAGAGCCCCUGGCCCUGACAACAUUCCUGUUGAAUUCUAUUAGGUGUGCUGGGAUAUUGUUAAAGAGGACCUUAUGAGGUUGUUUGCGAGCUUUCAUAAUGGGACUUUGGAUGUCCAACGUCUGAACUAUGGGGUGAUCACCCUUUUGCCCAAAUCUGUGGGCGCGGAUAAAAUCCAACAAUUUAGGCCUAUCUGUCUCCUGAGAUGUCCAUACAAACUUAUUACUAAAGUUUUGGAUCGGCGAGUGGAGAAAUGCGCUGAUAAGCUCAUUAGCUCAACCCAAAAUGCUUUUAUCAAGGGAAGAAGCAUCAUGGACGGGGUGUUGUCUCUACAUGAGAUUCUGAAUUAUACCCAUGUGAAAAAGAGGGUGGGGGUCGUCCUGAAACUUGACUUUGAGAAAGCGUAUGAUAAGGUGAACUGGGACUUUUUGUUAGAUUGUCACAAGCUUCGAGGUUUCAGUGACACAUGGUGCAACUGGAUCAAUCAGAUCCAGCACAAUGGUACUAUGAGUAUUAAACUUAAUAAUCAGGUUGGUCCCUACUUUCAGAGCGCUAAGGGUGUGCGACAGGGGGAUCCCCACUCCCCUUUCCUGUUCAAUCUAGCUGCUGAUUGUCUCGCAAAGAUGAUUACCAAUUCC